rnacentral:tRNA from 2 species
CCCUGAAUGGCGGAAUUGGCAGACGCGCACGACUCAAAAUCGUGAGGAGAAAUCCGUGUCGGUUCGACCCCGACUUCGGGGACCA